rnacentral:tRNA from 3 species
GGCUUCGUAGCUCAGGUGGUAGAGCAGAGCCCUGAAAAGGCUUGUGUCGCUGGUUCGAGUCCCGCCGAAGCCACCA